rnacentral:tmRNA from 2 species
GGGGGCGAAAUGGCUUUGACGGAGAUAAAGAAGCUCUGGCUGCAUACCGAGCUCCUACCUGCUCGUAAAAAAGGUUGGGACUUAAAAAUAAUCGCAGAUGAUUAUAAUUACGCUUUAGCCGCUUAAACGGCUAACGUUCUGUCGGGUUAUUCCCGCGAAUCCGAUAAGGGCGACGACUAGCGGGAUGGCUUUUCCUGAUUUCCUGUUUCAGGAUUAGCGAGACUUAAACAGGAUAGUCUUUCAAGCAUCCUGCCUGGAGGAGACUUGAAUAGGCGAAAGCCAAAGUUCAGGCUAAGUAUGUAGAUGCCUGUGUGGAAUAUUUUCGGACGCGGGUUCGACUCCCGCCGCCUCCACCA